AAUUAUUUAGUUUAAUAAAAACAAUAUAUUUUCAGUAUAGAAAUAAAUUAAGUUUAAUAAUUU
rnacentral:tRNA from 1 species